rnacentral:rRNA from 1 species
GGCGAACGCUGGCGGCGUGCUUAACACAUGCAAGUCGAACGGAAAGGCCCUGCUUGUUUGCUGUUCUCGAUUGCCGAACGCGUGCGUAACACGUAAGUAACCGGCCCUUGUCUUUGGUGGAACUUCACGAAACUGGGGCUAAUACCGUAUAGGAUCUCCUGCUGCAUUGUGGGGGUGGGAACUUUGCGGCUGGUGGGGAUGGACUGGCGGCUUAUCAGCUUGUUGGUGGGGGAGUUGCUGACCAAGGCUUUGACGGGUAGCCGGCCUGAGAGGGUGAACGGGCACAUGGGGCCUGCGAUACGCAGCAGACUCGUAUGGGAGGCAGUAGUGGGGAAUCUUGCACAAUGGGAGCAAGUCUGAGGCAGAAACGCUGCGUGCGGGAUGCCGGCCUGCGGGUUGUAAACAGCUUUCGCCUGUGACCACGCGUGAGUGACGGUAACGAGUAAAGAAGCACCGGCUAACUACGUG